GAUUCCCCUAGUAACUGCAGUGAAGCGGGAAAAGCUCAAAUUUAAAAUCUGGCAGUCUUUGAUUGUCCGAGUUGUAAUCUAGAGAAGUGUUAUCCGCGUUGGACCGUGUACAAGUCUCCUGGAAUGGAGCAUCAUAGAGGGUGAGAAUCCCGUCUUUGACACGGACUACCAGUGCUUUGUGAUGCGCUCUCAAAGAGUCGAGUUGUUUGGGAAUGCAGCUCAAAAUGGGUGGUAAAUUCCAUCUAAAGCUAAAUAUUGGCGAGAGACCGAUAGCGAACAAGUACCGUGAGGGAAAGAUGAAAAGAACUUUGGAAAGAGAGUUAAACAGUACGUGAAAUUGCUGAAAGGGAAACGCUUGAAGUCAGUCGCGUUGGCUGGAAAUCAACCUUGCUUUUGCUGGGCGUACUUUCUAGUCAAUGGGUCAGCAUCAAUUUUGACCAUUGGAAAAAGUGUAGAGGAAUGUGGCAUCUUCGGAUGUGUUAUAGCCUUUGCUCGCAUACAGUGGUUGGGAUUGAGGAAUUCAGCACGCCGCAAGGCCGGGUUUCGACCACGUUCGUGCUUAGGAUGCUGGCAUAAUGGCUUUAAUCGACCCGUCUUGAAACACGGACCAAGGAGUCUAACAUACCUGCGAGUGUUUGGGUGGAAAACCCAAGCGCGUAAUGAAAGUGAAAGUUGAGAUCCCUGUCGUGGGGAGCAUCGACGCCCGGACCAGACCUUUUGUGACGGANCUGCGGUAGANCAUGUAUGUUGGGACCCGAAAGAUGGUGNNCUAUGCCUGAAUAGGGUGAAGCCAGAGGAAACUCUGGUGGAGGCCCGUAGC
rnacentral:rRNA from 1 species